rnacentral:ncRNA from 1 species
AAAGAACGUCGCCGGAGAAUGCGAGGGUGUUUUCACCAGCAUGGUUUCAUGUGGUAGUCGCACCGGGGGUUCUUUCUUUU